rnacentral:rRNA from 1 species
UACAGAGGUCCCGAGCGUUGUUCGGAUUCACUGGGCGUAAAGGGUGCGCAGGUGGCUUGGCAAGUUUGAUGUGAAAGCUCAGGGCUUAACCCUGAAAUGGCAUUGAAUACUGUUGAGCUGGAGGUUUGGAGGGGGGACUGGAAUUCUUGGUGUAGCAGUGAAAUGCGUAGAUAUCAAGAGGAACACCAGUGGCGAAGGCGAGUCCCUGACAACACCUGACACUGAGGCACGAAAGCUAGGGGAGCAAACAGG